AUAGCGUAUAUUAAAGUUGUUGCAGUUAAAAAGCUCGUAGUUGAACUUCAGACCUGGCUGGGCGGUCAGCUUAUCGGCUAGUACUGUCCGGCUGGGCCUUACUUCUUGGUGAGCCGGUGUGCCCUUUAUUGGGUGCGUCGGUGAACCAGGACCUUUACCUUGAGAAAAUUAGAGUGUUCAAAGCAGGCCUAUGCCCGAAUACAUUAGCAUGGAAUAAUAAAAUAGGACGUGUGGUUCUAUUUUGUUGGUUUCUAGAGUCGCCGUAAUGAUUAAUAGGGAUAGUUGGGGGCAUUGGUAUUCAGUCGCUAGAGGUGAAAUUCUUGGAUUGACUGAAGACCGACUAUUG
rnacentral:rRNA from 1 species